CAGCGGCGCCGGGAGCGGGAGCGAGCUCGGGGUGCUGGGUGUGUCGUGAUGCCCUGGGAGUGCGGGUCUUCCAGGAUCCUUUGUGGGAUGAGGACUGUGGGAUGUGGUUAUAUAUGUGGCAGAUUGUCUGCUGGCAACAAAGAAGUUGGAAAAUGACAGCCGUGGCCACCCACCGAAGGCCUGGAUACAAUCGACAGAGGGCAAAUCCUCUGUACUUUCUGCUCCAUUGAGGAAGCCGAAGGGAGAAAGCUGUCUGGUUCUGUCUGCUGUUGUCAUCGUGGCCAAAAAAGAGGGGAGCUGAGGGCGCCAGGACUCACCUCCCCCCCCCCAAACCCCAAAUAAAACCCCUCAAAAAACUACCAACAAACGAACUUGACUUUUGUCCCGUCCCGUGUCGCCCUCCCCACAUUCGGAUUUCUGGGGUCUCCCAGCGCCCUUAUUGGGGCUCCCCCCUCAAGGCUCCCUGCGCUGCCACCUUCCCACGAGGUCGGCGAGGAUAGGAUGGCCCCCAGACGUACGGGAGCAGCGGGGCUCAGUUGGGAAAUCAUGACAGGAAGCACGUGCAGCUGCACGGGUCCGGUCCCCCACUCGCCAUCUCUAUGACUUCCGCGUGGCGAAGGGGAGUCCCGGUACUCCGAACAUUCGAAUAACUGUAUGAUUCCGAUCGGGCGGGGGGCGUUUCCGGUCCUCGACUCCUUGUCUCUAUGAUUUCCGGUGCUCCUCUUUGCUAUCUCGAUGAUUCCAAGAGGGCGGGGGGGGUUUCCGGUCCGCCAGUCCUUAUCUCUAUGGUUUUUCUGCGUGGCGGAGCGGCCUUCAGUGGCCCCUCUUUGCUAUCUCGAUGAUUCUCAGAGGGCGGGGGCGCUUUCGGUCCGCCACCCCCUAUCUCUAUGGUUUUUCUGCGUGGCGGAGCGGCCUUCAGGGGCCCCUCUUUGCUAUCUCGAUGAUUCUCAGAGGGCGGGGGCGCUUUCGGUCCGCCACCCCCUAUCUCUAUGGUUUUUCUGCGUGGCGGAGCGGCCUUCAGGGGCCCCUCUUUGCUAUCUCGAUGAUUCUCAGAGGGCGGGGGCGCUUUCGGUCCGCCAGGCCAUAUCUCUAUGGUUUUUCUGCGUGGCGGAGCGGCCUUCAGGGGCCCCUCUUUGCUAUCUCGAUGUUUCCGCGCGGGCGGGGGCGAUUUCUGGUCCGCCACCCCUUAUCUCCAUGGGUUUCCGCGUGGCUGAGGCGCGUUUCCGGUCCUCAUCGCCCCCAAAACCCCCCAUUCCUACCUGGAUCCCUUCAAUUCCCCUUGGGACCCCCGCCAAAUUUCCUCUGCCUUGUUUUCCCCCCUCUCCGAUUUUUGGCGAACCCCGAAUUCCCCCCGGGGCCCCCCAGUCCCUUCCCUGAUUUCGGCGCCUCCCGAUGCCCGUGGCUCCGGGGGCGGUCGCGACUGGGACUCGGAGGCUGACCCCCCCCCGGGUUUGGGGGCGCUGCCCCGCGGUGCCGGGGUGGCCUCUGGAGCCACCGGAGGAGGAAGAGACCCAGAGUGUGUGGCAGAUUGUCUGCUGGCAACAAAGAAGUUGGAAAAUGACAGCCGUGGCCACCCACCGAAGGCCUGGAUAUAAUGGGGAGUGAGACCAAAGCCUCUGUACUUUCUGCUCCAUUGAGGAACCCGAAGGGAGAAAGCUAUUGCAGAGCACUGGGGAGACUGUU